GCGUGCAGUGCCCUACUCAAGACAGUGGCAAUCAUGUCUAAUUAAAUGUGAUUGACACGUCUGUGAGUAGAGUAAUGCAUGA
rnacentral:pre_miRNA from 1 species